rnacentral:rRNA from 1 species
GACGAACGCUGGCGGCGUGCUUAACACAUGCAAGUCGAACGCUGAAGCUUGGUGCUUGCUCUGGGUGUAUGAGUGGCGAACGGGUGAGUAAUACGUGAGUAACCUGCCCUUGACUCUGGGAUAAGCCUGGGAAACUGGGGCUAAUACUGGAUACGACAUGCCACUGCAUGGUUGUGUGUGGAAAGGGGUUUACUGGUUUUGGAUGGGCUCAAGGCCUAUCAGCUUGUUGGUGUGGUAAUGGCCUACCAAGGCGACGACGGGUAGCCGGCCUGAGAGGGUGACCGGCCACACUGGGACUGCGGCACGGCCCAGACGCCUACGGGAGGCAGCAGUGGGGAAUAUUGCACAAUGGGCGGAAGCCUGAUGUAGCGAUGCCGCGUGAGGGAUGACGGCCUUCGGGUUGUAAACCUCUUUCAGCACGGAAGAAGAGAGAGUGACGGUACGUGAAGAAGAAGCCACGGCUAACUACGUG